rnacentral:rRNA from 1 species
AUUGAACGCUGGCGGCAGGCCUAACACAUGCAAGUCGAACGGUAACAGGAAGCAGCUUGCUGCUUUGCUGACGAGUGGCGGACGGGUGAGUAAUGUCUGGGAAACUGCCCGAUGGAGGGGGAUAACUACUGGAAACGGUAGCUAAUACCGCAUAACGUCGCAAGACCAAAGAGGGGGACCUUAGGGCCUCCUGCCAUCGGAUGUGCCCAGAUGGGAUUAGCUAGUAGGUGGGGUAACGGCUCACCUAGGCGACGAUCCCUAGCUGGUCUGAGAGGAUGACCAGCCACACUGGAACUGAGACACGGUCCAGACUCCUACGGGAGGCAGCAGUGGGGAAUAUUGCACAAUGGGCGCAAGCCUGAUGCAGCCAUGCCGCGUGUAUGAAGAAGGCCUUCGGGUUGUAAAGUACUUUCAGCGGGGAGGAAGGGAGUAAAGUUAAUACCUUUGCUCAUUGACGUUACCCGCAGAAGAAGCACCGGCUAACUCCGUG